rnacentral:misc_RNA from 1 species
UACAUAGGAUGCAAGCGUUAUCCGGAAUCAUUGGGUUUAAAGGGUCCGUAGGCGGUCUUAUAAGUCAGUGGUGAAAUCUCCUAGCUCAACUAGGAAACUGCCAUUGAUACUGUAAGACUUGAAUUUUUGUGAAGUAACUAGAAUAUGUAGUGUGGCGGCGAAAUGCUUAGAUAUUACAUGGAAUACCAAUUGCGAAGGCAGGUUACUAACAAACGAUUGACGCUGAUGGACGAAAGCGUGGGGAGCGAACAGG